UUUUUUUUUUUUUCAAAUUGUUUAAAAAAAUGGCGCACACAAUAUUGCUAGUUCAGCCGGGACCUAAACCAGAAACCAGAACAUUUUCAGACUACGAAAGUGUCAACGAGUGUAUGGAAGCAGGUGUUUGUAAAAUCUAUGAGGAACACCUCAAGAGGAUGAACCCCAACACUCCGAGCAUCCACGUUACGAUAUAUCACAACUAUUCGACUUCAUAGA